UCUUGUCUGAGCAGUCAGCAUCUGGUUCUCCUUCCACCUGGGAGCAACUUAGUCUCCCUGUUGCCAUGCCAACCAUUGAGGUCAGAAAAUUCAGGUUCUCUCUCUCUCUCUUCUGCCAAAAGGCCACCAUUUAGGCUCUUAAUCAGGAACUGGCAGCUGCCUCGCAGUGGAGAGCAAUGUAAGGAGCAGCAGUACCUAGAUGUAUCAGGUCUCCAGGGCCAUUUGCAUUUUAACAAGAGGCUUCAGGAGAUGCAAAACAGUAAUUCAAAGAAACAUAUCUCUAAUAACUGAAGAGGAAUCACUUAGGAAUUCCCUCAAAUAAAUCAUCUGGGGAAAAAGUUCCAGAUGCCGCCUUGCUGCACCAAACACAAAACCACUGUGGUCUGCUCCUGUCACAGUGGCCUAUAAGUGACCACCCCAAGCGGCCAGUCAGUCUGACACUGGAGACAGGGAGGCGUCAUGUCAGUUUAAAGGACUGGAAGGGGAUAAAUGCCACAGUCUCAACCGGCUCCUGCCAAGUUCAGAAUACGCCAAGCUUUUUGUAGGGCCUUUGAAUGAUUUGAAUGAGUGUUCACCCCUGCCAACAGCAAUACAAAAAUUGCCCCUCUCAGAAGCAACACUUUGCUAUUUGCACAAGGCAUUCUCUCUCCCAGGAAGGCAUUUCCACUUGAUCAUAUGCCAGCCACUGACAAUCUUAUGAUUGCCUUACAUACACUUGGGUCCAUAUUACUUGGUUGUUUCCCAUCAUGGGCUCCUCACAUGGAAUUUGCCCACUUUUCUCCUGGAGAGAAUGUGUGUUUCAGUCCGUAUGUGCUGAAAGUCCAUUCAUGCUGUUCAAGGAAAACUGCUUGAGUUUCAGUUGAUACUCAGAGAAGGAAAUAAAUAAUUACAUCUUUAUUUUAAACAAAUGGACAGUCUACAUAAGUGGCAAUAGAAUAAUUGAAUUCCUCUUUAUACAAUGAACAUAGACACAAAGUUAUUGGCAAGCCAUCAUACUCCUGAUCUUAGGAAAGUGCCAUGAUUAGUCCUUUGUUUCAUCUUUUUUAGUGAUUUGGGUGGUAGAUGAUAGAUCAGCUGAGCUGAAGAUAUCCAAUAGCAGUUCCAAAGAACAGAAAAGUGAGCCACUUAGAUGGUUUGGUUCCUAUGUAAAAUACUCUUAAAGAGAAAGAACAAUCCAGAUUAUAAAUUAGGGCCUUUAUUUAUAUCUGAAUAUGAAGAAUAAUCAUUUCUUGGCUUAAUUAAGUCCCUGUAAUUAUUACUAAGUUUCAACAAAGCGUAGUGCAACUUAACAUCCCUCCUGGUAUGAAAUCUAUAUGAUAAAAAUUAAAUAUGAUACUGAAACACAUUUUCUUUUUAUAGCAAUCAUUGCUUGUUUUUUUACCUCAAUAGAACAUUUCAUGAAAUUGUUAUUAUUGACAACUUAAAUAUUUUUUUUUAUUUUUUUUAUUGGAGUUCAAUUUGCCAACAUAUAGCAUAACACCCAGUACAGCACAUUUUAGAACAAGAAAAGACAACUUAAAUAUUAAUAGAACUUUAGUUAAAUACUGGAAUUUUUUCUUGACAAAAGCCAUUAGCAAAUUUUCACCUUUUUCCAAACUACAGAUUUAAUCAGAGUAUCUGAUUAAAGGCUAAGUAAAGGAAUUCAAAACAAUUUUUUAAGUUAAAAAAUAUAGAUUUGACUCACUGUGUUGGCACAUAAGGGUACUCUGGAUAGCUAGUUUAGUAUCCUGGCAUAUACAAAAAUGUAUUAUGUACUAUUUAGUAUGAGUACCGUAUGUGUGUUUAAAUCUACAAUGUUCGUGUUGCAGAUCUGUGAGGUUUAAUUAUCAUACAUAUUCACACUACUUGUCCUACUCACAAACACUAAGAGUUAAGAUAUAUAAAGGUACUUAUAUAUGUGUCUCCAAAUCUCUUUUGAGACUAAGAAACUGUUAAAAAGAAUAGAAAUUAUUUUAUAGAACCUUUGGGUUUAAACAGGACCUAAGCAUCAUCUCUCCAAUCCAUUUAUUGAAUGGCUGAAGAACUUGAGGUUUGUCCCAAUGACUCACAGCUGUGAGUCAAAGACCAGAAGACAGAAGGUCUGACUCUUUCAAAUUCUCCUUAGUUUUUAACCAAAAAUGAGCCUAACCUUGGCUUCCUCCAACCAAACA